AUCAGUGAAGAGUUCUUGAGGACAAAAGAACUCCAUUGUGAGCAGGCCAGUUUUCUCAGAAUGCUUCUUAGAUCUGUGUUCCUAAGCCACCCACCUUGUCUGGCUCUCCCCACCUUCUUCCAUGCUGAGCCCAGCUUCUCUGAGAAGCCCAUGGCUUUUUCAUGAAGUUUCCCACAAUAGCCCCAAUCACUGGUGGUGGGAGGAUGUGGUGAGACCCCCAGUGGAGUCAUUGCUCUGAGAAGAUUUUGUAUCUUCCAGGCGCCCGGUGUGCUGAAUCAUAUCUUCAAAGUUCAACGGCCAUUCAGUCAGUCACCACUCAGGAUCACUCAUUAUCAACUGUUUAAAUUUAUAAAAUGCUACCUGGAAACAAAGCCCACUUAACAGGCUGCUUUCCCUGAGACCAGGUCUGCUGCUUGAGACGGGUCUUCCAGUGUAAAGUCCGUUUGUCUGACAUUUGUCCCGGCCCUUGGGUACCCAGCAGAACUUGUGAUCCUGAAAAGAGCUGGUUGAAUUACAUAAUUUUAUGUGACAAAAGAAACAUGACCGUAUUCCUCUGC